GACGAACGCUGGCGGCGUGUCUAAUACAUGCAAGUAGAACGCUGAAGAGAGGAGCUUGCUCUUCUUGGAUGAGUUGCGAACGGGUGAGUAACGCGUAGGUAACCUGCCUUGUAGCGGGGGAUAACUAUUGGAAACGAUAGCUAAUACCGCAUAACAAUGGAUGACACAUGUCAUUUAUUUGAAAGGGGCAAUUGCUCCACUACAAGAUGGACCUGCGUUGUAUUAGCUAGUAGGUGAGGUAAUGGCUCACCUAGGCGACGAUACAUAGCCGACCUGAGAGGGUGAUCGGCCACACUGGGACUGAGACACGGCCCAGACUCCUACGGGAGGCAGCAGUAGGGAAUCUUCGGCAAUGGGGGCAACCCUGACCGAGCAACGCCGCGUGAGUGAAGAAGGUUUUCGGAUCGUAAAGCUCUGUUGUAAGUCAAGAACGGGUGUGAGAGUGGAAAGUUCACACUGUGACGGUAGCUUACCAGAAAGGGACGGCUAACUACGUG
rnacentral:rRNA from 1 species